AUACUGCACUCUUCUUGGUUUUUGAAAUAGAUUUUCUUCUGGCCAAGUUUAUCCUCUACACUGUGACAAGUAUAUAUCAGUAUCAGACCUAAACCUAAGAAGAAGACCAUAAGAAGAAGACCUAAAGCUCAGACCUCAGAAUCUAUUCUAUCUGUUUCUUGCUAUCAAUCCUUUUAGAACCACGUCUGAUGUGAUUCACAACUCGCCUCUAAACUCCCCUUUUCAACGUGUCCUCCAAAAGCGUAACAUUACUAAUUGCACGCAGUCGAACAUGGCUAAAAAGACAAGAUCAGACGAUUAUACAAAAACACGUGUAAAACUUGCAGAGGCGAAGGUUGCAUGGCGUUGGGAAUGUGGCGAAGUUUGCUGAGUCAACCGUUGUAGACAAUUAUGUUAAGACUAGUAUAUAGGCAAUGUUUGUUUGAAGUUUUAGAGGUUUGCAAUUUCACACAAAUUCUAUAUACUAAAAGUAUCCAAUCGUGAGAGAGAAAAGAGUGAUCUGAAAAAUGUAUGUACUUGCGUUCUAUUUAUGAGUUUAAUUUCUUUUACUUUUCACUAUCAUUUACUGCAAUAAAGUUUUUUUCAUAGUUUCUUUAUCAUUUCGACUUUAAUGUCAAAUAUAUUCAAACUUAUAAUUUUUGCACAAUCUGUCAUGGGAUCUUUCCGACUUUAAUCCCUUAAGUUAAAUCAAACUUAUCUUUAUUUACUAAAUUUUCCAUUAAAAAAAUUGGAAUGUCCAAUUGGACCUUCUAUGCGAAUUUUUUUUCUCUUUAAAAUUUGCAUAUAGGUUCUCUCAUUUAUGAAACUAGUUAAAGUCUUGAGUGUGCAUGAUAUUGAGGAGUGGUAGUAUAACCAAAAAAGAUGUUAAAAAACCAACUAGGAGAUACGUUAGAAGAAUGGUUAAUCCAAAGAAUAACACUGAUGGAGAACA